rnacentral:lncRNA from 7 species
GUCUUGUGCUAUUUAAUAUAUAUCUUCUUAAUCUUGCUCUUCAACAUGGAUGGAGUAUUAUUAAAUCACCCAUGGAUAUUUGACAUUCUUUUCUCCCGUGUUGUAAGUACAUGUGUGUCCAUGACAAAUGAUAGCACCCAAAGGAUAAGUUCACGCACCGCUUGUCCUCUUCAUUUUAUAUUUUUGUCAAUUUGGUUAUAAACACUUAAAGCAACAAUAGUU